rnacentral:snRNA from 1 species
AAUCAUACCUGACGUAGGGGAUACCGUGAUCAUACAGGCGGUUCUCCAAGGCGAGGCUGCUCCGUUGCACUGCGGAGUGGUUGACCCUUGCGAAUAUUUUUAUUUUUAUCAAUAAAAAAAUCUUAAUAAAAAAUGUAUUACCCGAAUAAUUAUUUC